CCUAACCCCAACCCCAACCACAAACCUGACACGCCAGUGCCUCCGGCCUUGUUUCGGGUGGCGUCCUGCCUGCGAUGAUUGUCACUCUGGGUGGCCUGCUCGGGUCCUUGGGGUGGCCAUCGUUCGGCUUGGCGUCGCCUGGACAGGUUGUGAUGGAGCGAGCACACCCUCCUCUUCUCUCUUUUCUUUUUUUCACACUCUCUCUCUCUCUAUCCCUCUCCCUCUCCUCUCCUAAACCUAACCUUUACUCUCUCCUCUCCUAAACCUAACCUUUACUCUCUCUCUCAUCUCACUCUCUCUCUCUCUCUCUCACUCACUCUCUCUCUCUCUCUCUCUCUCUCUCUCUCUCUCUCUCUAUCUCACUCUCUCUCUCUCCUAACCCUAACCCCAACCCCAACCACAAACCUGACACGCCAGUGCCUCCGGCCUUGUUUCGGGUGGCGUCCUGCCUGCGAUGAUUGUCACUCUGGGUGGCCUGCUCGGUGAGUACAAAUCGUUUCACAGUGCGGGUGUCGUGACGUUACAACAAGUCGAACUUUUAGACUUGAUUUGAACACAUUCCAAAUGGAGGGAAAGGUAUAUCAAAGCAAACAUUUUAUUGCUUUGGUCAAACAUUCCGAUAGUCCACGGCGUGUUUGUCCACUAUGUGUUGCACAUAAUAUGUCGAUUUGACGCUUCACAUAUGUAGGAUGUUAUUUUGAGAGUCUUUUGACUCCGCUGUAGUUGUGAGCACUAGCCACGCCCACUGCAGCACACUAUAUAACCUCCUCCAUUUGGAGCCCAGGCUCAUUCCCUCUCCGGCAGUUCAUGAGAUACCCUCCUGCCCGAGGACACAUAGGGAAGCCGUCUCGACCACGGGGUUUCAAGGAAGCACCCUUUACCCACUGGAGAAGGAGAAGAGCUCCAGUGGGCGUGGCCCAGCCAGCCUGACGAGGCCUGAAAGGCCGAAACGCGCGUCGCUGGAUAUUAUCCGCAUGUGUUUGUCACUUCAUUUAAAGCCCCGAUUCGAUUUCUUCCAGGGUCCUUGGGGUGGCCAUCGUUCGGCUUGGCGUCGCCUGGACAGGUUGUGAUGGAGCGAGCACACCCUCCUCUUCUCUCUUUUCUUUUUUUCACACUCUCUCUCUCUCUAUCCCUCUCCCUCUCCUCUCCUAAACCUAACCUUUACUCUCUCCUCUCCUAAACCUAACCUUUACUCUCUCUCUCAUCUCACUCUCUCUCUCUCCUCUCUCACUCACUCUCUCUCUCUCUCUCUCUCUCUCUCUCUCUCUCUCUCUCUCUCUAUCUCACUCUCUCUCUCUCCUAACCCUAACCCCAACCCCAACCACAAACCUGACACGCCAGUGCCUCCGGCCUUGUUUCGGGUGGCGUCCUGCCUGCGAUGAUUGUCACUCUGGGUGGCCUGCUCGGUGAGUACAAAUCGUUUCACAGUGCGGGUGUCGUGACGUUACAACAAGUCGAACUUUUAGACUUGAUUUGAACACAUUCCAAAUGGAGGGAAAGGUAUAUCAAAGCAAACAUUUUAUUGCUUUGGUCAAACAUUCCGAUAGUCCACGGCGUGUUUGUCCACUAUGUGUUGCACAUAAUAUGUCGAUUUGACGCUUCACAUAUGUAGGAUGUUAUUUUGAGAGUCUUUUGACUCCGCUGUAGUUGUGAGCACUAGCCACGCCCACUGCAGCACACUAUAUAACCUCCUCCAUUUGGAGCCCAGGCUCAUUCCCUCUCCGGCAGUUCAUGAGAUACCCUCCUGCCCGAGGACACAUAGGGAAGCCGUCUCGACCACGGGGUUUCAAGGAAGCACCCUUUACCCACUGGAGAAGGAGAAGAGCUCCAGUGGGCGUGGCCCAGCCAGCCUGACGAGGCCUGAAAGGCCGAAACGCGCGUCGCUGGAUAUUAUCCGCAUGUGUUUGUCACUUCAUUUAAAGCCCCGAUUCGAUUUCUUCCAGGGUCCUUGGGGUGGCCAUCGUUCGGCUUGGCGUCGCCUGGACAGGUUGUGAUGGAGCGAGCACACCCUCCUCUUCUCUCUUUUCUUUUUUUCACA